rnacentral:rRNA from 1 species
GAUGAACGCUAGCGGCAGGCUUAAUACAUGCAAGUCAAGGGGGUAGCAAUACAACCGGCGCACGGGUGAGUAACGCGUACACAACAUACCAUAUACUGGAGUAUAGCUUUGGGAAACUGAAGGUAAUCCUCCAUAACAUUGCGAGAGGGCAUCUGAUUACAAUUAAAGUUUCGGCGGUAUAUGAUUGGUGUGCGUUUGAUUAGCUAGUUGGUAGGGUAACGGCCUACCAAGGCGACGAUCAAUAGCUGGCGUGAGAGCGCGACCAGCCACACUGGAACUGAGACACGGUCCAGACUCCUACGGGAGGCAGCAGUAGGGAAUAUUGGACAAUGGAGGAAACUCUGAUCCAGCCAUGCCGCGUGAUAGAUGAAGGCCCUCUGGGUUGUAAAUAUCUUUUAUCUGGGAAGAAACACUCCUAUUCUUAGGAACUUGACGGUACCAGAGGAAUAAGCACCGGCUAACUCCGUG